CUACGGGAGGCACCAGUGAGGAAUAUUGCACAAUGGGGGGAACCCUGAUGCAGCAACGCCGCGUGGAGGAUGACGCAUUUCGGUGUGUAAACUCCUUUUAUAUGUCAAGAAAAUGACGGUAGCAUAUGAAUAAGCACCGGCUAACUCCGUGCCAGCAGCCGCGGUAAUACGGAGGGUGCAAGCGUUACUCGGAAUCACUGGGCGUAAAGGACGCGUAGGCGGGUUGGAAAGUCAGGUGUGAAAUGCUACAGCUUAACUGUAGAACUGCACUUGAAACUUCUAAUCUAGAGUAUGGGAGGGGGAGAUGGAAUUAGUAGUGUAGGGGUAAAAUCCGUAGAUAUCACUAGGAAUACCUAAAGCGAAGGCGACCUCCUGGAACAUUACUGACGCUAAGGCGUGAAAGCGUGGGGAGCAAACAGGAUUAGAUACCCGCGUAGUC
rnacentral:rRNA from 1 species